rnacentral:piRNA from 1 species
UGAAUGCAAUGUGUCUCAAACUCUCCAAGUC